rnacentral:rRNA from 1 species
GAUGAACGCUAGCGACAGGCUUAACACAUGCAAGCCGCGGGGCAGCAUAAGUAGCAAUACUUAAUGGCGACCGGCGUACGGGUGAGUAACGCGUGUGCAACCUACCCUUCACAGGGGGAUAAUCCAUGGAAACGUGGUCUAAAACCCCAUGAUAUUAUUUAUUCGCAUGGAUAAGUAAUUAAAACUCCGGUGGUGAAGGAUGGGCACGCGUGACAUUAGGUAGUUGGUGGGGUAACGGCCUACCAAGCCAUCGAUGUCUAGGGGUUCUGAGAGGAAGGUCCCCCACACUGGAACUGAGACACGGUCCAGACUCCUACGGGAGGCAGCAGUGAGGAAUAUUGGUCAAUGGGUGGAAGCCUGAACCAGCCAAGUCGCGUGAAGGACGACGGGUCUAUGGCCUGUAAACUUCUUUUAUCGGGGAAGAAUAAGUGGUAUGUAUACCAUGAUGCCAGUACCCGAAGAAUAAGCAUCGGCUAACUCCGUGCCAGCAGCCGCGGUAAUACGGGGGAUGCGAGCGUUAUCCGGAUUUAUUGGGUUUAAAGGGUGCGUAGGCUGUAAAUCAAGUCAGUGGUGAAAGCCGUCAGCUCAACUGUCGCGAGCCAUUGAAACUGGUUAACUAGAGUAUAGACGAGGUAGGCGGAACAAGUAAAGUAGCGGUGAAAUGCAUAGAUAUUACUUAGAACUCCGAUAGCGAAGGCAGCUUACCAGACUAUAACUGACGCUGAUGCACGAGAGYGUGGGUAGCGAACAGGAUUAGAUACCCUGRUAGUCCACGCACGUAAACGAUGCUCACUGGUUYUGGGCGAUAGWCCGUCCGGGACCGAGCGAAAGUAAAAGUGAGCCACMUGGGGAGUACGUCGGCAACGAUGAAACUCAAAGGAAUUGACGGGGGCCCGCACAAGCGGAGGAACAUGUGGUUUAAUUCGAUGAUACGCGAGGAACCUUACCCGGGUUUAAAUGUAGGUUGCAUUGAGUGGAAACACUCAUUSUCUUCGGAGAUACWUACAAGGURCUGCAUGGUUGUMGUCAGCUCGUGCCGUGAGGUGUYGGGUUAAGUCCCAUAACGAGCGCAACCCUUACCGUUAGUUGCCASCGGGUUAAGCUGGGCACUUUAGCGGGACUGCCACCGUAAGGUGAGAGGAAGGUGGGGAUGACGUCAAAUCAGCACGGCCCUUACAUCCGGGGCGACACAMGUGUUACAAUGGCCGGUACAGGGGGCAGCUACCUGGUGACAGGAUGCGAAUCUCCAAAGCCGGUCUCAGUUMGGAUMGAAGUUUGCAACCMGAYUUCGWGAAKUUGGAUUCGYUAGUAAUCGCGCAUCAGCCAUGGCGCGGUGAAUACGUUCCCGGGCCUUGUACACACCGCCCGUCAAGCCAUGGAAGCCGGGAGUACCUGAAGUUCGUCACCGUGAGGAUCGACCUAGGGUAAUACCUGGUGACUGGGGCU